GGCGGUUCUUCUGGGCCUUUCCUGACGCUGAGGAGGCGAAAGCGUGGGGAGCGAACAGGCUUAGAUACCCUGGUAGUCCACGCUGUAAACGGUGGGUACUAGGUGUGGGGUCCAUUCCACGGGUUCCGCGCCGUAGCUAACGCUUUAAGUACCCCGCCUGGGGAGUACGGCCGCAAGGCUAAAACUCAAAGGAAUUGACGGGGCCCCGCACAAGCGGCGGAGCAUGCGGAUUAAUUCGAUGCAACGCGUAGAACCCUUACCUGGGUUUGACAUGGAUCGGGAGUGCUCAGAGAUGGGUGUGCCUCUUUUGGGGUCGGUUCACAGGUGGUGCAUGGCUGUCGUCAGCUCGUGUCGUGAGAUGUUGGGCUAAGUCCCGCAACGAGCGCAACCCUUGUUCACUGUUGCCAGCACGUUAUGGUGGGGACUCAGUGGAGACCGCCGGGGUCAACUCGGAGGAAGGUGGGGAUGACGUCAAGUCAUCAUGCCCCUUAUGUCCAGGGCUUCACGCAUGCUACAAUGGCUGGUACAGAGAGUGGCGAGCCUGUGAGGGUGAGCGAAUCUCGGAAAGCCGGUCUCAGUUCGGAUUGGGGUCUGCAACUCGACCUCAUGAAGUCGGAGUCGCUAGUAAUCGCAGAUCAGCAACGCUGCGGUGAAUACGUUCCCGGGGCUUGUACACACCGCCCGUCAAGUCAUGAAAGUUGGUAACACCCGGAGCCGGUGGCCUAACCGUUGUGGGGGAGCCGUCGAAGGUGGGACUGGUGAUUAGGACUAAGUCGUAACAAGGUAGCCGUACCGGAAGGUGCGGCUGGAUCACCUCCUU
rnacentral:rRNA from 1 species